AUCUUGUGUGACCAUAUUAUCGCCGUGUCAUGCACUGUGGGAUUCCUUUGCCCUUUCAUGGAUGUUCUACUGUAAUUGUUUCGUUUUGUUGUCUUGCUAGUUUGUAGAUUUCUUUGUUGUUACUGUAAUAAAAGAUAAAUCGAUUUUUUUCCAUACAUUUUUUCAGGCUAAGAUGACUUUUAAGCAGAUCCUGUUGUCGAUUUUCAUUCUAGUGAUGUCAGUUGCCCUGCUAGUGAUUGCAUCAGGCCUGCAGCUUUUUAUUGCAACGGAUGGUACAACUGCACUGGGCAGCCAUGAGGUGAAGAGUCAAAUGCCAGCAGAAGUAUUUAAGCAAGUGGUCAUGGAUUCAGAAAACAGGUAACACCCAAGUGGAGAAGUGGGGUGUUAGUUUAGACUGUACAGUGUCAUGAGAAUAAGUGUGUGUUUACCAAGACAAAAUAAAUGGUGGUGUAAAAUGUGACAUGUUUCUCUGAUUGACAGAAACUGAAACAAGACAAUAAACACUGUAUGCCAUUACAUGAGGCAUUAAAGUUAAAAAGAAACGGGUUGUCUUUGGUUAAUUGUGAUUUAUAUGUUGUGUGAUUGAUUAUUUAUGAGCAGUUGUGUGUUAAAGGUCUUUGUUGCCCAGGUCACUUAAGGCAUUCAGUUUGAUUUUUUGUUGUAUGAGCAGGAUACAUAGCAUUUAUGUUUCAUUGAAGACGAUUAUUACAGAUGAAUGCUUUCUGAGGUUAGUGUCAAGCGUUAGAACAAUCACACUUUUGUGUAAUGAAUCCAGUUUUAGGAAGAAACA